ensembl:lncRNA
CACCUACGCCCAUCACUGCGGGCAAGCACCAUCCCCACCGCGGCUUUCCCCCUCAUCACUCCGCUCCGCUUCUCGAGCUGUGAUCUGAUUGGCUGUUGGAGGGGUGAGGCUCACUGCAGAGGUUUACCAGAUUUCACCUUUUGUCAGGAGGAGUUUGAGCGUGACUCCCAGCGCUGUGUUAUUUAUAGGGGGGGUCUGGGGUCCAGAGCUGAUGGUUAUGCACGGCUCUGCCAUCACAGGGUAAGACGACACACACCGGGAGGCAGCUGUCGAGCUAAGCUUGGGUUUCACUGAUGUGUGAGAUUGGCGGUGUUUGUUUGUGACAGCAGCGAAGUUGGCAUGAGGGAGCCCCCAGUGGAUUGGGAGAGGGACGUAUUUCCAGUUCUGUGUUGUGAGGGUGUGUUUGUG